rnacentral:lncRNA from 1 species
AUCCUGAACUCUUGCUUAUCCUUCAAGGCCACUUCCCCAGUGUCCCUACCUAGAAGGAAUUUCCAUCUUCUUUGCACCCUUUGUGCUUGAGAUUAAUCUGCCUAUCAGUGACACGUAGCAUUUUCUGUCCUCCCUUAGAGUUGAUAUUAUACAGGCCUAUUUUCCUCUGUCUGAAAGAUUCUUAAUGUUUCAUCUUUGUUUCCUCUACAAAAUCUUACAUAGUUCUUGGAACAUAGGAAGGGUUUAAUGAAAUGUUCAGUUGAUUAAAUAAUUAAUUAAAUUCAGUUCCCAGAAAUGACUCUUUGUAGGAAUUUCGUGCAGAAUACCAGGGAAGCCACAGAUAUGUGGUUCCCCUGGCUUUGACUUUCACCUUUCAGGCGUCACAGCCCUGAGCUUUCAUUUCCC